UCCGGUUUGUCACCGGCAGUCUCAUUAGAGUGCCCAACUGAAUGUAGCAACUAAUGACAAGGGUUGCGCUCGUUGCGGGACUUAACCCAACAUCUCACGACACGAGCUGACGACAGCCAUGCACCACCUGUGACAGUGUCCCGAAGGAAAACCGUGUUUCCACGGCGGUCACUGACAUGUCAAGCCCAGGUAAGGUUCUUCGCGUUGCAUCGAAUUGAACCACAUGCUCCACCGCUUGUGCGGGUCCCCGUCAAUUCCUUUGAGUUUUAGCCUUGCGGCCGUACUCCCCAGGCGGGCAACUUAAUGCGUUAGCUUCGACACGGGGGGAGUCGACACCCCCCACAUCUAGUUGCCAUCGUUUACAGCGUGGACUAC
rnacentral:misc_RNA from 1 species